GUUAUAACCGGCGAUACCCGAAUGGGGAAACCCAGUGUGACUCGUCACACUAUCAUUAACUGAAUCCAUAGGUUAAUGAGGCGAACCGGGGGAACUGAAACAUCUAAGUACCCCGAGGAAAAGAAAUCAACCGAGAUUCCCCCAGUAGCGGCGAGCGAACGGGGAGGAGCCCAGAGCCUGAAUCAGCAUGUGUGUUAGUGGAAGCGUCUGGAAAGGCGCGCGAUACAGGGUGACAGCCCCGUACACAAAAGCGCAUGUGCUGUGAGCUCGAUGAGUAGGGCGGGACACGUGGUAUCCUGUCUGAAUAUGGGGGGACCAUCCUCCAAGGCUAAAUACUCCUGACUGACCGAUAGUGAACCAGUACCGUGAGGGAAAGGCGAAAAGAACCCCGGCGAGGGGAGUGAAAAAGAACCUGAAACCGU
rnacentral:rRNA from 1 species